UCCCUGGUGGUCCAGUGGUUAAGACUCCACCUUUCAAUGCAGGGAACUUGGGUUCGAUUCCUGAUCAGGGAA
rfam:TPA: Bos taurus chromosome 10, whole genome shotgun sequence.